rnacentral:lncRNA from 1 species
UCAAAUCGAAAUCGUUGAGAUCUGUAUUCAUGAUCGUUGGAUGCUUUUCGUCACACACGGCGGCGGAGUUCACUAAGAUGUUGACCGGAGAUUGAAAAGCUGAUUCAGCUGCGUCAAAUAGGGAUUUCACUGAGUCUGGAUCUGAGAUAUCAGCUUUAACGGCGACAGCGACGGCAGAUACGGCGGAAUUAUUCAUGGAUUUAUUAGAAUUGAUUUGAGAAACGACGUCGUCGGCUAGAGUAGUGGAGUUUGAGGAGGAAUAGUUGAUGAUGAGCUUAGCACCGAGAGAAGCUAGAUGAAGUGCAAUCGCUUUUCCGAUGCCGCGAGAAGAUCCGGUAACGAUAGCUACCCGAUUUUCGAGCGGCAAUUUUUGAGCAGGUACGUUUUCGUUUGAUUCCGCCAUGAAUGAAGAAAUUAAAGCUUUGAAAUUACUACUACUAAGGAAAGAUAAAUCAAUCGAACCAAGUCGAUGAUAUAUAAAAAUCGAUCAAACUGAUGAUUAAAACUUCUUUGUUCAUCGGGAAGAUAAUUUAUCCUUUUUCAAUUCAAUUAUUUAAAGAAAUGCAAAUCUUAUGAUUUGUUUAACAAUAUCAUAUGAUUUGAAAUCCCAACAUUACCUUACAACUUGUUUUAAAAUAAUCACAUAUUAUUUAUACAACAUUUUUAUAUUAGUUCUUCCUCUUACUCUAUUUUUAGAAUUUUUUACCAAAAACACUCAUAAACUAUACCCUUAAUUUAAAUUUUUUAAUCAAAUAAUUAAUGAAUUUUACACAAAAAUAUGUGCAGGUCACAUUGCUCUCCAUAAAAAAUUUCCCAUAUAAUUUCAUUAUUGGUUGGAAAAAGCACUCUUAUUUGCUAAAAAGAAAUUAAGUUAGAAUGGUGUUGCAAAGAGACAUGAUAUGCUCUUCUCCUCCUUUACCAACUUAACGAAGUUGAAGCUUAAUUUCACAUCAUUUUCACCUUCUGUAAAGACAAAAUGUAAGUAGAUCAAUAAUUAUUUGGGGCAUUUGAUAUUUGAAGUGAUCAAGAUUCUGAAUUUCAUAUAUGGCACUCGAAUUUUGUUCUCCAUUAUUAAAAGUAAAAGUCUCAGGUGACCACCAUUUCUUGCAGUUUCAAAGAGAAAAAAAAUAUUUCAAUUGGUAAUUUUUUAAUAUCAAAUCAAAUGAAAAAUAAAUUAAAACAAAGUUGCUAAUAAAAGGAUCUGCAUAAUGCCAAGUGUUGUUGCCAAAAAGAAUUCACAAUAUUUUAGAUGUAUCACGGAUCGAAUGAAAAGAUUUUUUAAUCUUUGGUGAUUUAGGGAGUUUUGCCGAGAGUAAUAUAAAUUACACAUAUUUUUGUAGGAAUUCUGUUAAUUUUUUGUCAAAUUUUAACAAAAGGAUGGAAGUUGUUAAAGUUUAAAAUACUUGAAGGAUGUUUUUUUGUUAAGAAGAAUAAUUUAAUGAUGUAAUUUAAGUUAGGAGUAGUUAAAGAAUGUUUUUGGCCAAAAACUCCUACUUUUAUUAUAAGUUUAUCAUUCAAGAUGUAUGACAAUACAAUCUAUUCAAACACUAUAUUUAUUGAAACAAUACAUUGCAAUUUGCAAUACACCACAGUUCACAUUACAAUACAUUAUGAUGACCAUCCAAAUUCCAAAUAAAGUGUGAAAAAAAAAAGCAAUCACAUAUGAUUAAUAAUAUCGUAAAACUCGAAUGAAUACCAAUUCAUGUAAUAAUUUCAAUAAAUUCAAACUUAUUUUAUUUAAAUACUCUUCCUAUGAAAUUAUCUAAAUUUCUCUCUGAUGAUCCUUCAGCUCUUAAUGCAUUAUUCUCUAACGUUUUCUUCACUUCCUUAAUUGCAUUUCUACACUCAUCACUUAAAUUUCCGUACAUAAAAUUGUGUAUUUUCUCUGAAAUUUCAACCUUAGUAAUUGGAUUUUUAUUGCACAAAUUAAGUCCGAUAUUCCAAUCAUCGACUACUAAUUUUCGAUUAGUAAAUUGAUCAGUGAGCAGAGGGAAACAAAACAAUGGAACUUCACACCAAAUGGCUUCCAGGAUUGAGUUCCAGCCACAAUGAAUCAAGAAUCCUCCGAUUGCUGAGUGAGUCACCACUUAUUUUUGACAACACCAAGGUACGACUAAACCACGACCACAAAUUUCUCCUUCAAAAUCUUUAGGUAACGGGUUCGGGUCAUCGGACCUUACAAUAUCGGGUCGGAGCAACCAAAUAAAACUAACUUUACUUAAUGAUAAACCAUAAGCUAUCUCUACAAGGUCAUUUUUGGUAAUAUGGGAAUAGCUACCAAAUGACACGUAUAAAACAGUUGCAUGUUGUUGUAAGUCGAGCCAGUGGGUGCAGUCGGACUCAAACCACAUGCUAGUAGUCACACAGCUCUUGGUGAACUCGGGUGGGAAGAUGGGUCCUAUCGCGUAAAAUGGCUUUUCAAUUUGUAGAGCUGAUAUAAUCUCGUAUUUGAGCUCCUAACAUAAGAUGAAAUCAGUAUUUCUUACAUCAUUAAAUGCAUUGAAAAUAAUUUGAUGACACAUUAGGUUGUGUCUGUUUCUUGAAGAUAUGACAUUAGGAUUAGGUCCUUUGGCUUUAUUGAUUGGACUCCUGGUAUAUAUAGUCAAUAGGAUCUUCACGCAUAUCUGUCAUCUGACCUCAAAUCAAACAAUAAACAUGAGCCAAUAUUAAAAAUAAAUAAACCGAAAAGGGUCAAAAUUACCCUUAAACUAUUCGAAAUAGAUUAAUUAUAUCCUUAAACUAUAUUUCGGCUCAAAAGUGUCCUUCCCGUCUAACUAUUGGACCCUGCUUACUCUUCUGUUUAACGGAAGAGUUAUGUGGCAUCCAUGUGUAUAUUAAAAUGCCACAUAGAUCUCCACAUGUGCACGCCAACACACCCACCUCCAUGUAGAAGCCCUAAUUUCCUUAGAAGAUUUUGUAAUAUAGAUUAUAGAAUAAGAGAUUAAAAUGAACAUAUAGGGAAGCUUACCAAUACAACCAAAGUGGCCAUGUAACAUCAAGAGAUGAAGAUGAUAAUAAAGGGUAAAAACCAAAGCUGGUUCUGUCCAAAAAUAUAGGUAUAAAAGUCCAUAUUUCUUGGUCAAUUUUCCAGGAAACACAAAGAAAGAAUCAGCAAUCAAACAGGUCACUGGAGGAUCUAAUUUUGACUCUUCUAGUUUUCACCAAAGCUUCUUCAACAUGAGCUGAGAACACAUGUAAUAAAGAAGCCAUGAAUUGGUGAUGGUUCAAUGACCUAUCGAAAUUUACUGGUAGCCCAUCAGACACCGUCAUAUAACGUAUAUCUAGUUCUUGAUGACCUUGAACGCUAUAAAAUAUGUCGAUAUUACUAUUCUUUUGAGUGAUCUGAUAGUGUGUGGACUCUGUAUUGAUGAAGGUGAUAGUGAAACCUUUUUGUGCAAGCUUGACUGCUAGAUGGAUUGUGAAAUGGUGCAAAGUCAGUGUAUGCAAGGUAUCAUGAUAUACUUGGGGUAGCUAGAAAUUUCAAUAAAAUAAUAAUAUACUCUGUGUAAUUUCAUAAGUAGAAUUGAAGAAGGAUAGGAGAGAGCAAGAUAAGAAUACGAAGCAUGGUAGCAAGUAAGGGUGUAAUGGACGGGCUGAUUUGGGUUUUUCAAAUAUCAAACCAAACCAUUUAUGUCGGAUUUUUAAAUCUAUAAACUAAAUCAAAUUAAUAAAAUUCGAAUUUUUCAACCUUGGGUUUUUUCUGGUUUUUCCGAUAAGUAUUCAUAAAAACAUAUAAUUAAUUUGUGCUUCAAAUAUUUCUUUUGUCCUACCAAAAUACAACUAUCGAAGGUGUUUAUUAAGAAAAUAACACAAAACAUGAGAUGAGUGAUGACACUAAAUACUGAUCAACAAAAAAUAAUAAUGAAAGUGCAUAAACCAAAUCUUGCAAAUUAAUAAGUUAUAAUGAAAAUGAUCAUAAUUUAAAAGUACUAAAUCAUGCUAAAAUAAGUCUAAUAAGUAUUAAUUACAUCACUAAAUAUUAAAGAAAAACUAAAAUUAGAUUAUGUAUUUUAAUUGUCUAAACUAAUGUAAAACUAAAGAACAAAUAUUCAACAUUAUUAUUGUCAUUCUUAAUGUUGAUCAAACUGAUUUUUUUUGUUAGCAUUAGUAUGAAUUUGAUUUUGAUUUGAGCUUUUUAGAAUUACUAACAUUAUAUGGACUAGAACCUUCAUUGGACCAUUCAAAAUCCUAAGUUUGUAUUUAUAAAUUAUAUCAAAGUAAUAUUUUUAUAUAAUAUAAAAUAAAAUUUUAAAAUUAUGUACAUAGUGUCAGAUUGGUUGGGUCUCGGGUUGAUUUUUUAGUUAAGACCAACCCAAUCCAACCUAAGUAUAGUCGGAUAUUUUUUUUCCCGAUUUGACUCUUUUACAGUUUAAUUUGAUUUUCAAUUCAAUUUUGUACACCCUUAACUACAACAAAAUAUAGUACCAAAAUGUAAAGCAAUUGAAGUAACAUGUAUUCAACAUGUAGCAAAAUACAAAUAGAAGAAAAUGAAUAACACGAUUAGUAAAUAAUACGUACUAUUAAUAAGAAACAGUGUAGAGAAAGCUAUCCCCUGCCUCUCUCACACAAUGAGACAACACUUCGCUAUAUAAUUUUUUUGUGAAAUACUCCCUCCAUUUCAAAAAGAGUGGUCUGAUUUGACUUGGCACGAAGUUUAAGAAAUUAAAGAAGACUAUUGAAUCUUGUGGUCCUAAAUUAAAGUUAUGUCAAAUGUACAAAAUUAUCCUUAAUCUUGUGGUCUUAAACAUGCCACGUGGAAAACAAAAAGUAAAAUGUUACCAAAAAAAAAUCAUUCUUUUUUAAACUGACUAAAAAAAAAAAGAGGUCAUUCUUUGUGAAACGGAGAGAGUAUAAUUUUCCGACAAAGGAUAUUCUAACUUUCUAUCUUUUAGGCUAAUGUGGCUCUGCUGCUACUCCUAAAUUUAUUAAAAUUUCCCUUCUUCCUUUUAUCAUUUGGAUAAUAAUCCUAACAGAAAUGUUGUCACCAAAUGACAUAAUACCCAUAUCAGCUAUACUAUAAGACAUUUUGUUGGUGUGACCAUUUUAAUAUUAUACAAAUUGUUACAUAUUCACAUUGCCAAUGCCACACUAAGUCUUUGCUGAAAUGUAUGACAUUUGUGCCUAAUUACUCAUGGUCAAUUAAUGACCAGAGGCAUAAGGCAUAUUACUUUCUGAACGUUGGCAAUGGAACGUUGGCAUCUGCACGUUAGUGCAUUUGUUGCCCUCAACUUUAUUUCAUUCUUUACUCCUCCAUUAUUUUUGUAACCUAUGUAACUCCUACGACCAUUAUCUUCACUAUUUACUACACCAUUAUCUUCAUAUUCAUUGCUAGGAAGACUUCUUGUACUAUAAAUAGUGGUGGUCUUCAUUUGGUUUGUGACACACAACAUAUAAGAAAAAUAUAGAGUGAAAGAGUUAGUCCCUUCUUAUUAGUUGAAGGGAUGUGUUUUUUUUGUGGAGCUUUGGACUCAACUCUUGUCCAGAGUUGUUGAGUUAUAUUUUGUGAUUAGGCUGUUGUAUCCUGGAGGGGACAAGUCAAGAAGGAUUACCGCUGGACCGGUGAAAAUAUUUGCUGCAAUGGGCUUGAAUCUCAUUAAAGAGAGCGAGAUAUCCGCGCCUCAGCCUGAAGAGAUUUAUUUCUUCAUUUUUAUUUUCAAUUGCAAUUUUGUAUUUUUUUCUUAUCUUGUAAGUUUUUCACUAACAAUUUUAAGGAGAUUCACCAUGAAUACAAUUGAAAAAAACGCGGAUGUCAAGAUGGGAGACCUUAACAAGCCAUUUCGGUUCAAUGGUAACCAUUUUAAGAGAUGGAAGGGUAAAGUACUUUUCUACUUAAGUCUUCUCAAUGUUUCUUAUGUGUUAACUGAGAAGAAUCCUAAUAAAGUAGACAUCACCUCUAUGAACGAUGAUGAAACUAUUUCUCAUCUAGAGAAAGUGGAAAAGUACGAUGGUGAUUCCUAUAAGUGUCGGUAUUAUAUUCUUAAUUGUCUAUCUGAUAAUUUUUAUGAUUAUUAUGAUAGAACUUACUCUAGUGCAAAGAAAAUUUGGAAAGCAUUGCAGUGUAAGUAUGAUACCAAAGAGGCUGGAGCGAAAAAAUAUGCGGCUAGUAGAUUUUUUCGUUUCCAAAUGGUGGACAACAAAUCAGUGGUAGACCAAGCUCAAGACUUUAUAAUGAUUGUUGGAGAGCUUAGAUCCGAGGAGGUUAAAAUUGGAGAUAACCUUAUUGUUUGUGGCAUAGUGGAUAAACUUCCACCUUCUUGGAAGGAAUUUUCAAAAAACUAUGCACCACAAACAAAAGGAAUCCUCUCUUGAAACCUUGAUAAUGAAAAUCCGCAUGGAAGAAGAGGAAAGGGGCCAAGAUGCACUUUUGCAAACAGAAGAGAGCAACAUCACAACGAAUGUAAAUUUAAUUACUUCAAAUAAUGCUACUCCUGAAACUCACAAAAAUACUUCUUUGAAGCCUAAGAAGAAAAAAUUCAAGAAAAAUAAUGGUGGAAAUAUCCAAGCACAAAAUUAGCAAGUUCAAGACAAGGGACCAUGCUUUGUUUGUGGCAAGAGUGGGCAUAUUGCUCGAUUUUGCAGAUUCCGAAAACGUGGUCCUAACCCUCUGGCAAACGUUACCGAAGAACCUUUUGUGGCGGUGAUUACCGACAUAAACAUGGUUGAGAAUGUUGAUGGAUGGUGGGCUGGAUUCUGGUGCAAACCGUCAUGUCUGUUAUGACAAAGACUAGCUUAAGAAAUAUACUCAUUUUGAGGAGCCCAAAACCAUCAUGCUUGGUGAUGCUCACACUACUCAAGUGCUUGGAAAGGGAGAUGUCGAAUUGUGUUUUACUUCUGGAAGGGAAUUAACUUUGAAAGAUGUACUUUAUACUCCUUCUAUGAGGAAAAAUCUGAUGUCUAGUUUUCUUCUUAAUAAAGCAGGCUUUAAACAAAUUAUUGAAUCUGAUCAAUAUGUAAUAGUGAAGAAGGGUAUUUUUGUGGGAAAGGGGUAUGCAUGUGAUGGGAUGUUCAAAUUGAAUGUUGAAAUGAAUAAAACUUCUACUUCUGUUUACAUGCUUUCUUCUACCAAUUUUUGGUCAUGCUCGUUUGUGUCAUAUUAAUGACCGUUAUGUUGGAAUCAUGAGUAGUUUAGGAUUAAUUCCAAUGAUUAAAAAGAAUUUUGAAAAGUGUGAGGCUUGUAGUAAAGCCAAGAUCACUAAAAGGCCUCAUUUUCAAGUUGAAAGAAAACUAAUUUGUUAGAAAUAGUUCAUACUGAUAUUUGUGAACUUGGUGGAAUUUUAACUCGUGGAGGUAAUAGAUAUUUUAUCACUUUCAUUGAUGAUUUUUUCUAAGUUUACAUAUGUUUACUUGAUGAAAAAUAAAAGUGAUGCUUUUGAAAAUUUCAAAACUUAUCUCCAUGAAGUUAAAAAUCAGUUUGGAAGAAAAAUAAAAGAAUUAGAAGUGAUAGAGGCCGUGAAUAUGAGUCAAAUGAGUUUAAUUCUUUUGUUAGAUCAUUGAGAAUAAUUCAUGAAACUACUCCUCCUUACUCUCCUUCAUCUAAUGGAGUAGCGGAAAGGAAAAAUAGAACUUUGGUUGAAUUGACUAAUGCCAUGCUUAUUGAGUCACAUGCACCUUUAAAUUUUUGGGGUGAAGCUAUUUUAACUGCUUGUUAUGUGUUGAAUCGUGUGCCUAAAAAAAAAGUCUAAACUGACACCUUUUGAAUUGUGGAAAGGUUACAAGCCAAGUUUGGGAUAUCUAAGAGUUUGGGGUUGUCUAGCCUUUGUGAGGCUAAUGGAUCCCAAAAUUACAAAGUUGGGUAAGAAAGUUACUACUUGUGCUUUUCUUGGUUAUGCUUCAAAUAGUACAGCCCAUAGAUUUUUUAAUCUUGAAGAUAAAAUUGUGAUAGAAUCGGGUGAUGCUAUUUUUCAUGAGAAUAAAUUUCCUUUUGAUUCUAAAAAUAGUGGGGGUCAAAAGAUUGAACAAAAUAUUUUGUCACUACCUAGUUCUUCUACUUCUACUUUAAAAAAAUAAAGAAAUUGAUGAUUUUGAGUUAAGAAGAAGCAAAAGAGCUAGAGUAGAAAAAGAUUUUGGUCCUGAUUUUUAUGUGUUUAAUGUUGGAGAUGACCCUCUCACUUUGAAAGAAACAUUAUCUUCACAUGAUUCUAUAUUUUGGAAAGAGGCUGUAAAUGAUGAAAUGGAAUCACUAAUUUCUAAUAAAACUUGGAAACUAGUUGAUUUACCACCGGGUUGUAAAAUUAUUGGUUGUAUAUGGAUCAACCCGAGUCUUUUGUUGAAGCAGGUCAAGCAAGCAAAGUAUGUAAACUUACUAAAUCCCUAUAUGGCUUGAAACAGGCACCUAAGCAAUGGCAUGAAAAGCUUGAUUCUUGCAUGAUUGAAAAUGGUUUUAAAACAAAUGAGUGUGAUAAGUGCAUAUAUCAUAAGUCUUGGAAUAAUUCACAUGUGAUUAUUUAUCUUAUAUGUUGANNNNNNNNNNNNNNNNNNNNNNNNNNNNNNNNNNNNNNNNNNNNNNNNNNNNNNNNNNNNNNNNNNNNNNNNNNNNNNNNNNNNNNNNNNNNNNNNNNNNNNNNNNNNAAUAUUCUUAGAAGUCAUUUUGAUAUGAAAGAUCUUGGUGAGGCAAAUUUUAUUCUUGGAAUAAAAAUAACAAGAACAUGUGAUGGAAUUUUCCUUGACCAGUCACAUUAUGUUGAGAAAAUAUUGAAAAAAUAUAAUUUUCUUGAUUGCAAGCAUGUUGCAACUCCUUUUGAUUCAAGUGUUCACUUAUUUCCUGUUGAAAGUGAAAAUGAUGUAAUAAAUCAAAAGGAAUAUGCUAACAUAAUCGGAAGUCUGAGAUAUGUGACUGAUUGUACUAGGCCUAAUAUUGCAUAUGCAUACUGAGUACUUGGCAGGUUUACAAGCAAGCCAGGUAAUGAACAUUGGCAUGCUAUAACAAAAGUGAUGAGAUAUUUAAUUGGAACAAAAAUUGUGGUUUGUUCUAUAAAAAUAUCCUGUUGUACUUGAAGGCUUUUGUGAUGCAGAUUGGAACACUUUAUCAGGUGAUUCCUGUUCUACCACUGGUUAUGUCUUUACUUUAGAUGAUGGUGCUGUUUGUUGGAGAUCAAAAAAGCAAACUAUUAUUGCUAACUCUACCAUGGAGGCUGAACUAAUUGCUUUAGCUUCAGCUAGUGAGGAACCGAAUUAGUUAAGAGAUUUGUUAUUUCAAAUACCUUAUUUUGAAAAACCAAUUCCUCCUAUUUUAAUUCAUUGUGAUAACACUGCUGCAAUUGGUAGAGUUCAAAACCGUUAUUACAACGGUAAAUCCAGACCUAUAAGGAGGAAACACAGUAAUAUAAGAUCAUAUUUGACAAGUGGUACCAUUAAUGUUGAUUAUGUCAAAUCUUGUGAUAAUCUUGCAAAUCUUUUAACUAAGGCCUUAACAAGAGAAAAGGUCUGGAGCACAUCGAGGGGAGUGGGAUUGAAGCCAGUGGCGGAGGGAGGAUUUUCAUCAAGGGGGUUCAAAAAAAAUUAAUCAUGUAAAUAAUAUCCACAAAUAAACGGAUCGGAUUAAACUGCCAAAUCAAGAAGAAAAGGGGUUUUUAAUAUUUGACUUUAUAAUUAGGGAUUAAACUAAUAAAUCCUAAAUUCCCAACCCUUCAUAUGAUGUAAGUGCAUUGUUUCCUGUAGUUUGUGAAGGUUGAGUUGAUAAAACUCUUAAUGAAUAUUUGUAGCCCGUAUGGGUGGAGUGUUAAGCUUACAGGAGCACUCUCGACAGAUUUCACACUUGUGAUGUGUGGAAGUAGGUCGCUUCCUAUGAGAAUUGGGCUUAUUCUCAAAAGCACUCAUGAAAUCGGGAUAGCACAUGGCCAUAACGUGCUGGCUUUAAAGCUCAUGUCUAACACCUUUGAUUAUUAUGUGUGGACAGUGAUAUUUAUUUUCCUCAAGCAGUCAUAGUUCAAGUCUGAGACCACUACGACUCUGGAGUAAAAGUUACUGUUUCACUAAGUGGAGGUUCAAUACAGAGCACACCUUCAUUAUGCAUGGUAGUCUCCUUCAGCUGAUAUACUCUCUUGUCUAAUAUUUAAAUGAGUGGGGAUUGUUGGUGUGACCAUUUUAAUAUUAUACAAAUUGUUACAUAUUCACAUUGCCAAUGCCACACUAAGUCUUUGCUGAAAUGUAUGACAUUUGUGCCUAAUUACUCAUGGUCAAUUAAUGACCAGAGGCAUAAGGCAUAUUGCUUUCUGAACGUUGGCAAUGGAACGUUGGCAUUUGCACGUUAGUGCAUUUGUUGCCCUCAACUUUAUUUCAUUAUUUACUCCUCCAUUAAUCUUGUAACCUAUGUAACUCCUAAGACCAUUAUCUUCACUAUUUACUACACCAUUAUCUUCCUAUUCAUUGCUAGGAAGACUUCUUGUACUAUAAAUAGUGGUGGUCUUCAUUUGGUUUGUGACACACAACAUAUAAGAUAAAUAUAGAGUGAAAGAGUUAGUCUCUUCUUAUUAGUUGAAGGGAAGUGUUUUUUUUGUGGAGCUUUGGACUCAACUCUUGUCCAGAGUUAUUGAGUUAUAUUUUGUGAUUAGGUUGUUGUAUCCUGGAGGGGACAAGUCAAGAAGGAUUACUGCUGGACCGGUGAAAACAUUUGCUGCAAUGGGCUUGAAUCUCAUUAAAGAGAGCGAGA